rnacentral:rRNA from 1 species
AUACGGAGGAUCCGAGCGUUAUCCGGAUUUAUUGGGUUUAAAGGGUGCGCAGGCGGCCAUUUAAGUCAGCGGUUAAAUCGUGGGGCUCAACCCCAUUCUGCCGUUGAUACUGGGUGGCUUGAUUGCGGUCGAGGUUGGCGGAAUUCGUUGUGUAGCGGUGAAAUGCAUAGAUAUGACGAAGAACACCGAUUGCGUAGGCAGCUGACCAGACCGCAAAUGACGCUCAUGCACGAAAGUGCGGGGAUCGAACAGGAUUAGAUACCCUGGUAGUCCGCACAGUAAACGAUGAAUACUUGUUUUCGGCGAUAUAAUGUCGGAGGCAAAGCGAAAGCGAUAAGUAUUCCACCUGGGGAGUACGUCGGCAACGGUGAAACUCAAAGGAAUUGACGGGG